CCCACUUAAGCAAUUUACUAUCUUUAUGACACUCUGGGGAAGUCACUUGGCCUCUCUUCAGUGAAAUAAGGGGGUUGGAGGAGGAGGUUAUUCAGGUCCCUGCAAGCUCUGAACUUAUGAUCCUGAGGACUUUCUAUAAAACUGUCCACUAUGAGGCUUGGAAUUCAUAAAAAAAAAUCCCAGCAUUAACUAGGAGGGUAAAGAUUUGUUUGCCAACCACCCAACUCUUUUAACCACUGUGAUUCUACCCAGAUGUUCUUUCUAAAAUGCAAAGGGAUGAUUUUCUUGCCAAGAAACUGGAUGAUUGAUCAAACCUUCUUUAAAUCAUUUCAUCUUAUUCGUUCCCAUCUGAAAGAGCAGAUAUUGCAUGAAUAUUAAUAUUCGGGGAGAGUAGCAUGUCCACUUAUUUCUUCCACCCAUCUUCUUUCUUUCUUACUGUCUCACUUAAGAGAGAAAUGCCCCUUAACCCAACUCCCAAUUACUGCCAAUAGUGUAUAGAUAUGAAGUAAAAAGAGGAAGCUACUGAAGGAGGCUCUAUAGUUGUUUUUAUUAGCAACAGCUGGUGGCAGUUCCCCCUUUUUGAAUGUGUGUAUUUUUUUUUUAAUGUUUUACAUGUCAGAUCCAGCUUCUUAAGACUGGAUGGCAAAGGGGAAGACAAGAGCAUAUUACAGCUUUUGCAUGCAGAAAGAGGAGAUUGUUGCUAGAUGUGGUAUGGGCAACAUCCAGAAGAUUAGGAAAUCUUUAAAAAGGAAUAUUUGCUAUAAAUAUUGUGUAGGUAACAUUUGAACAAUUAGACAAACAUAUUGAGUAACUAAAACCACCUGUGCCACAAAAAAUAUCAUUUCUUCUUAUUUGUCCAAAAUCCAUUAAUAGAAAUAAAAAAUGUGGGCUGCACAUGUCCAACAUCUAUCCUUAUUGUAACUUUUAAAUAUGUUUAUAAUCAAGGGUGGAGUUUGCAACACCGGGGCUCUUUAUAACUACAUUGGAAAGAGUGGAAACAUCAAAAGGAAAUCUCUGCCAUCCGUCUACCCUAGAAAUAAAUCUUCCUUUAUUCACAUGUUCACUGGCUCCUACAUGAGAAGCUCAAAUGGACAGUGUUUCAUCUUAUUUCAUGUUUGGAAUUCCAGAGUUCAGGAUGACAAGUGAUGGCCCAGGAUGAUGUGGAUGACUUUGGCAUAUUUGAUGUGUGACUAGACUCUAGCUGCCCCAAAGUACCUGCUUCAACCACCUUCAUGACUGUUGGAACAAAUUGUGCUCAUCUGACUUUUCCUCUAUGAGAAGCCUCCACAUGCUUGGAGUAGCUAUCCACUCAAGUCACUGACUUAAGGCCUGUCAGUUGCCCUCAACCUGGCUAAACCAGGUCCACCUAGAGAGUUUUACUGGGGUGUGGCUGCUAUGCCUGCUACAGUUUCUUAGAGCCACAGGCAAGAAUUGGGUGAAAGAUAGAUACCAAAGGUGGAAGAGUAGCCCUGAAAAGAUAAGACCUCAGCAAGUCUUCAUGCCAGAGGCUAGUCUUCCCUGAACACUCCAUACCCUCCAAGGAAUUACACUAGAGGAGAUAUACCUCCCCUUAUAGCUCUAAAACAAUAACCAUGUGAAUUCUUUGUAGAAGUGAAACCAUUAAAGACAGAAGCCCCAAAGGAAUAAAAAUGUUUUGCAAAAAUGUGCCCUCA
ensembl:lncRNA